rnacentral:rRNA from 1 species
CGCUGGCGGCAGGCCUAACACAUGCAAGUCGAGCGGAUGAAGGGAGCUUGCUCCUGGAUUCAGCGGCGGACGGGUGAGUAAUGCCUAGGAAUCUGCCUGGUAGUGGGGGAUAACGUCCGGAAACGGGCGCUAAUACCGCAUACGUCCUGAGGGAGAAAGUGGGGGAUCUUCGGACCUCACGCUAUCAGAUGAGCCUAGGUCGGAUUAGCUAGUUGGUGGGGUAAAGGCCUACCAAGGCGACGAUCCGUAACUGGUCUGAGAGGAUGAUCAGUCACACUGGAACUGAGACACGGUCCAGACUCCUACGGGAGGCAGCAGUGGGGAAUAUUGGACAAUGGGCGAAAGCCUGAUCCAGCCAUGCCGCGUGUGUGAAGAAGGUCUUCGGAUUGUAAAGCACUUUAAGUUGGGAGGAAGGGCAGUAAGUUAAUACCUUGCUGUUUUGACGUUACCAACAGAAUAAGCACCGGCUAACUUCGUGCCAGCAGCCGCGGUAAUACGAAGGGUGCAAGCGUUAAUCGGAAUUACUGGGCGUAAAGCGCGCGUAGGUGGUUCAGCAAGUUGGAUGUGAAAUCCCCGGGCUCAACCUGGGAACUGCAUCCAAAACUACUGAGCUAGAGUACGGUAGAGGGUGGUGGAAUUUCCUGUGUAGCGGUGAAAUGCGUAGAUAUAGGAAGGAACACCAGUGGCGAAGGCGACCACCUGGACUGAUACUGACACUGAGGUGCGAAAGCGUGGGGAGCAAACAGGAUUAGAUACCCUGGUAGUCCACGCCGUAAACGAUGUCGACUAGCCGUUGGGAUCCUUGAGAUCUUAGUGGCGCAGCUAACGCGAUAAGUCGACCGCCUGGGGAGUACGGCCGCAAGGUUAAAACUCAAAGGAAUUGACGGC